UACGUAGGGUGCAAGCGUUGUCCGGAAUUAUUGGGCGUAAAGAGCUCGUAGGCGGUUUGUCGCGUCUGCUGUGAAAACCCGGGGCUUAACCCCGGGCCUGCAGUGGGUACGGGCAGACUAGAGUGCGGUAGGGGAGACUGGAAUUCCUGGUGUAGCGGUGAAAUGCGCAGAUAUCAGGAGGAACACCGGUGGCGAAGGCGGGUCUCUGGGCCGUAACUGACGCUGAGGAGCGAAAGCGUGGGGAGCAAACAGG
rnacentral:rRNA from 1 species